rnacentral:rRNA from 1 species
AUUGGACGCUGGCGGCAGGCCUAACACAUGCAAGUCGAGCGGAUGAAGGGAGCUUGCUCCUGGAUUCAGCGGCGGACGGGUGAGUAAUGCCUAGGAAUCUGCCUGGUAUUGGGGGAUAACGUCCGGAAACGGGCGCUAAUACCGCAUACGUCCUGAUGGAGAAAGUGGGGGAUCUUCGGACCUCACGCUAUCAGAUGAGCCUAGGUCGGAUUAGCUAGUUGGUGGGGUAAAGGCCUACCAAGGCGACGAUCCGUAACUGGUCUGAGAGGAUGAUCAGUCACACUGGAACUGAGACACGGUCCAGACUCCUACGGGAGGCAGCAGUGGGGAAUAUUGGACAAUGGGCGAAAGCCUGAUCCAGCCAUGCCGCGUGUGUGAAGAAGGUCUUCGGAUUGUAAAGCACUUUAAGUUGGGAGGAAGGGCAGUAAGUUAAUACCUUGCUGUUUUGACGUUACCAACAGAAUAAGCACCGGCUAACUUCGUG